rnacentral:rRNA from 1 species
AGAGUUUGAUCAUGGCUCAGGACGAACGCUGGCGGCGUGCUUAACACAUGCAAGUCGAGCGGUAAGGCUCCUUCGGGAGUACACGAGCGGCGAACGGGUGAGUAACACGUGAGCAAUCUGCCCUUCACUUCGGGAUAACUCCGGGAAACCGGUGCUAAUACCGAAUACGACCACUUCAGGCAUCUGACGGUGGUGGAAAGUUCCGGCGGUGAAGGAUGAGCUCGCGGCCUAUCAGCUUGUUGGUGAGGUAAUGGCUCACCAAGGCGUCGACGGGUAGCUAGUCUGAGAGGACGAAUAGCCACACUGGGACUGAGACACGGCCCAGACUCCUACGGGAGGCAGCAGUGGGGAAUCUUAGACAAUGGGCGCAAGCCUGAUCUAGCCAUGCCGCGUGGGUGAUGAAGGCCUUAGGGUCGUAAAGCCCUUUCGCCGGGGAAGAUAAUGACGGUACCCGGUAAAGAAACCCCGGCUAACUCCGUGCCAGCAGCCGCGGUAAUACGGAGGAUGCAAGCGUUAUCCGGAAUUAUUGGGCGUAAAGCGUCCGCAGGUGGCUCAUCAAGUCUGCUGUCAAAGGCAGGGGCUUAACCCCUGAAAGGCAGUGGAAACUGGAGAGCUAGAGUGCAGUAGGGGUAGAGGGAAUUCCCGGUGUAGCGGUGAAAUGCGUAGAGAUCGGGAAGAACAUCGGUGGCGAAAGCGCUCUGCUGGACUGCAACUGACACUAAAGGACGAAAGCUAGGGGAGCGAAUGGGAUUAGAUACCCCCGUAGUCC